rnacentral:misc_RNA from 1 species
UCCGAGUUGACCCCGGCAGUCUCCCGCGAGUCCCCGGCAUCACCCGCUGGCAACACAGGACAAGGGUUGCGCUCGUUGCGGGACUUAACCCAACAUCUCACGACACGAGCUGACGACAACCAUGCACCACCUGCACGCGGCCCCAAAAGGACCCCGUAUCUCUACGGGAUUACCGCGCAUGUCAAGCCUUGGUAAGGUUCUUCGCGUUGCAUCGAAUUAAGCCACAUGCUCCGCCGCUUGUGCGGGCCCCCGUCAAUUCCUUUGAGUUUUAGCCUUGCGGCCGUACUCCCCAGGCGGGGCGCUUAAUGCGUUAGCUACGGCACGGAACCCUCGGAAAGGACCCCACACCUAGCGCCCAACGUUUACGGCGUGGACUAC